rnacentral:rRNA from 1 species
GAUGAACGUUGGCGGUGUGCCUAAUACAUGCAAGUCGAACGGAGCUAAUAGCAAUAUUGGCUUAGUGGCGAACGGGUGAGUAACGCGUUGGUGAUCUGCCUUGAAGUGUGGAAUAACGUUCCGAAAGGAUCGCUAAUACCGCAUGUGCUCUCGAUUUUCAGAAAGUUGAGAGUAAAGGAUUUAUUCGCUUCAAGAGGAGCCUGCGUCCCAUCAGCUGGUUGGUAGGGUAACGGCCUACCAAGGCUAUGACGGGUAGGGGACCUGAGAGGGUGGCCCCCCCACAAUGGAACUGAAACACGGUCCAUACACCUACGGGUGGCAGCAGUAGGGAAUAUUAGAAAUGGACGAAAGUCUGAUCUAGCAACACCGCGUGUGCGAAGAAGGCCUUCGGGUCGUAAAGCACUUUUUGGAAGGAAUAGGAAGGAAUGUACUUCCAGAAUAAGUCUCGGCUAACUACGUG